CCACGGUGGUAAAUGAUGAUCCUGCAAGAAAUGAAAAAGAUGGUGUGGAUGAGGCUAAAAUGGUCCGAGUAUGUGACAAGUUAAUCGGGGUUUUCAUGGUUGAUAAGCCCACACCUACUGAUUGGAGAAGGUUGCUUGCUUUUAGCAAAGAAUGGGACAAUAUUAGGCCUCAUUUCUAUAAGCGAUGUCUGGAACGAGCAGACAGUGAGCGUGAUCCUGGGAUGAAG
rnacentral:misc_RNA from 1 species